GAGUAAUCGGAAGGCGACGACCGGCGCACGGGUGAGUAUCGCGUUUGUAACCUACCUCAAACUGGAGCAUAGCCCGAAGAAAUUCGGAUUAAUACUCCAUAAUACUAUUUUCAGGCAUCUGAAAAUAGUUAAAGCUUCGGCGGUUUGAGAUGGGCAUGCGUAACAUUAGUUUGUUGGUGAGGUAACAGCUCACCAAGACUACGAUGUUUAGGGGGUCUGAGAGGAUGGUCCCCCACACUGGUACUGAGACACGGACCAGACUCCUACGGGAGGCAGCAGUGAGGAAUAUUGGUCAAUGGGCGAAAGCCUGAACCAGCCAUGCCGCGUGAAGGAUGACGGCCCUAGUGGUUGUAAACUUCUUUUAUACGGGAAGAAACCCCUCUACGUGUAGAGGGUUGACGGUACCGUACGAAUAAGCAUCGGCUAACUCCGUGCCAGCAGCCGCAGUAAUACGGAGGAUGCAAGCGUUAUCCGGAUUUCUUGGGUUUAAAGGGUGCGUAGGCGGAAAAUUAAGUCAGUGGUGAAAUCCUGCAGCUUAACUGUAGAACUGUCAUUGAUACUGAUUU
rnacentral:rRNA from 1 species